GCAUGAUAGUACAAGCUGGGCCUUUCCUCUUCACACAGAGAUUGAAUGGUAUGAAGCAAUUAGAAGGCUAAGGUCUACAUAAAUGAUUGAGUAACUGAGAGGUAUGGAUCUGAGAUGUUGAAUUGGAGAAUGCAAUGUAAAAAAUCUAAAAGAAGACUAAUUUAUGCAAAUCUUGAAACAGCACAUGGAAAAGCCAAAAGACUUUCACCCAAAAGAAAAG
rnacentral:lncRNA from 12 species